rnacentral:rRNA from 1 species
UGGGGAAUUUUGCGCAAUGGGCGAAAGCCUGAUCCAGCCAUGCCGCGUGAGUGAAGAAGGCUCUAGGGUUGUAAAGCUCUUUCAGUCGUGACGAUGAUGACGGUAGCGACAGAAGAAGCCCCGGCUAACUCCGUGCCAGCAGCCGCGGUAAUACGGAGGGGGCAAGCGUUGUUCGGAUUUACUGGGCGUAAAGGGCGCGUAGGCGGGCGAUCAAGUCAGGGGUGAAAGGCCUGGGCUCAACCUGGGACGUGCCUUUGAAACUGAUUGUCUUGAGUGCGGGAGAGGGUGACGGAAUUCCCAGUGUAGAGGUGAAAUUCGUAGAUAUUGGGAAGAACACCGGUGGCGAAGGCGGUCACCUGGCCCGCAACUGACGCUGAGGCGCGAAAGCGUGGGGAGCAAACAGGAUUAGAUACCCGUGUAGUCC